rnacentral:lncRNA from 1 species
GGUAAAUUAAUCUCUCAACUGGUUGAACACAGCUUUAGAGAUGUCAACAGCCUCCUAUGAGUCUAGAGUCAGGUGGUACAGGCUCAACUGGUCUAACAGCUGCAAAUUUUGAGAGACUGCUGUGCUAAUGUUUGGGGCUCAGAUUUAAGGUAUAGGUAUGAUUUACGUACUUUGAGCAGCCAAGCCUUCUUCAGAAGAAACCUGAGCGGCAUGUGCUCCUCCCCACCUGCUUCCCCACAACAGGAAGAACUCUCUGCAGAAGGUCUCCUCACCUUGUUGAGGCCUGGGAAUGUGCAAAUGUGCAGGUAAGCUGUGGACUGGACAAAGAACAGAUUCUCAGGAUAACAGUACAAAGUUUGAAAAUUUUAUUGGAAAAUAAGUACAGUCUAUUGAUCCGUGAUGCAUGCUGUACAUGAAUUUGGUGCUUUAAUAUACAAAAAAUUUGGCUUCUGCUGCAAAAUUAUAUAAACAGGUUAAAAAAAA